AUGUGCCACCACACUCAGCUAUUUUUUUUAUUUUAUUUUAGUAGAGAUGAGGUCUUGCUAUGUUGCCCACACUGGUCUCAAACUCCUGAGCUCAAACAAUCCUCUUGCUUCAGUCUCCCAAAGUGUCAAAUUCCUUCACUUGGGGAUUUUACCAAACAUUUAAGAAAGAAACAAUACCAAUUCUACACAAACUCUCCCAGAAAAGUAAAGAGGAGGGAAUACUUUCCAUUAUUCCACGAGGACAGAAUUAGUACGAUAACAAAAUCCAGAAAAAGACAUUGCAAGAAAACUACAGACCCAUAUUCUUUAUAAAUAAGACUCAAGAAUUCUGAACAAAAUUUUAGCAAAUUGAAUCCAAUAACAUAUAAGAAGGACAAUGCAUUAUGACCAAAUAGGGUUUAUUCUGGAAAUGCAAACAAGUCAUUCAGGCAGUUACUACCAAUCAGAGUUAGAGCUGGAGGAAGGAAAAAAAAAUUUUUUUUUCAUCUCUGAUCCAGGUCAAACAUCUUGUUUUAUUAAGCUGAGGCCAAAGUGCAGAACAAAUUGUACUAAACUAAAACUAGUAUUAAAGUCUCCUGGUUGCUAAUCCAAUGUGCUUUCUACAACACGAGUUUAAGAAAAAGUAGAAAACAACAAAAGCUGGAGUCUAAUAAAGAGAGGAUUGUACAAAACUAUGAAGAAAAAAAAAAUCAAGAAUUUGAACGGGAUAUCAGAUGUGAACUUUUGAAGAAUGUCAGUGAUGUAUCAUGGGGCUAGUUCUAAAUACAUCUAUUUUUCAUGAGACUAAUAAUAGUUUUUGUGCAAAGGAAAGAAUUAUCCACGAUAAAAUAGAUGAAAUACUUAUUUUAAAAAUAUUUUUCAUAAUAAAAGUGUUAAAAUGACUCAAACUGUUUUUGAUCUAACACGAACAUGAUUCUUAUGACCAGAAAAUUGCCCUAUUUACAAAGAAGGCCAAAAAAGCAAGAUGAUGUAAGAUUAUACAAAAUGUAAGCCAAUAAAGUCAUAUGUAGAUAUACAGAAAUAUUAUUAAUCUUGAUGAGAAAAUACAUCAUUGGUUUGAAGCACAAAUAAAUA
rnacentral:lncRNA from 1 species